UUGGAGGGCAAGUCUGGUGCCAGCAGCCGCGGUAAUUCCAGCUCCAAUAGCGUAUAUUAAAGUUGUUGCAGUUAAAAAGCUCGUAGUUGAAUUUCGGGAUCAAAUUGUUGGUCGUGCCUCGGUACGCACUGGUAUUAUUGAUUCCUACCUUCUGAAGAACCGCGAUGUCAUUAAUUUGGUGUCGUGGGGAAUCAGGACUGUUACUUUGAAAAAAUUAGAGUGUUUAAAGCAGGCUUACGCUUGAAUACAUUAGCAUGGAAUAAUGAAAUAGGACGUUUGAUUCUAUUUUGUUGGUUUCUAGGAUUGACGUAAUGAUUAAUAGGGAUAGUUGGGGGCAUUAGUAUUCAAUUGUCAGAGGUGAAAUUCUUGGAUUUAUUGAAGACUAACUACUGCGAAAGCAUUUGCCAAGGAUGUUUUCAUUAAUCAAGAACGAAAGUUAGGGGAUCGAAGACGAUCAGAUACCGUCGUAGUCUUAACCAUAAACUAUGCCGACUAGGGAUCGGAUGAUGUUAAUUUUUUAAUGACUCAUUCGGCGCCUUACGGGAAAC
rnacentral:rRNA from 1 species